rnacentral:pre_miRNA from 1 species
GCUGAUGCUGGCGGUGAUGCCGAUGGUGAGAGCUGGAAAUGGGGUGCUACGUCAUCGUUGUCAUCGUCAUCAUCAUCAU